UCGAAGCCUCCUCAUUGCUCAUCAUGCUGCUGCCAAGGAUUUGUGUGUUGGGUUGGUAGGGUUCAAUUCAUGGCAGCUCGUAACCUCCAUCACUGCAUGAGUAAGUAUUCCUUUUGCCUCUUUCAUUCAUGGAUGAGCAUGACAAGAGAUGAGCAGUAAGCACUACUGUUGAAGGAGUUUCCCGAGUAGAACUAAAGUCCAAGGUGAUGUGAGGUAAGCCAUCCAAUAAAGUCUUGCUUAGUUACUUGGUUUUUGUCUUUCCUUGACCGUAUGGUUGUUUAGGGCAUCUUUGGCUUUAGUUCUCCUUCCACAAAAGCUUUAUUUAAUGCUAUUGGUGGUGUUUCCAAGGUUAUCCUCUCAGGGUUUGGCCCAGAAGGGCGGCUGGUGAAGUCAACGAGGAUUGGCUACUCCCUUUUAGGAUGAUGCUCCUUCAAGAGCUAAUUCUUUUAACUUGAUUGAUUGGAUCAUAUGAAUGUAAACACAAAUUUGAGAAAUGCACUCCAUUAAUUAUAUUUUUUAACCUUGUAGAGCUUGAUAUUAUGAAUAGCUAUAUUUU
rnacentral:lncRNA from 1 species